rnacentral:lncRNA from 1 species
CCGGCNCCACGAUGAAGGUGGCCGUGGACUUCGAGGAGUGUCUGAAGGACUCGCCCCGCUUCAGGUGACUUUCAACAUUCUUAAAUCUAUUUUGGUAUAUAGACGCUCCCCGAGUUACAUAAACCCGAG